UUGCAGCGUUGUUUGUCU
rnacentral:snRNA from 1 species